AAGUCGUAACAAGGUUUCCGUAGGUGAACCUGCGGAAGGAUCAUUCAUAAUAAGUGUUUUAUGGCACUUUUUAAAUCCAUAUCCACCUUGUGUGCAAUGUUACUCUGCGGAAAAUUUAUUUUCCAACGAGUCAAUAUCAACCUUUUUAUUAAACAAAUUUGUCUGAAAAAUAUUAUGAAUACUUAAUUCAAAAUACAACUUUCAACAACGGAUCUCUUGGCUCUC
rnacentral:misc_RNA from 1 species